rnacentral:rRNA from 1 species
GAUGAACGCUAGCGGCAGGCUUAAUACAUGCAAGUCGAGCGGCAGCGGGAAAGUAGCUUGCUACUUUUGCCGGCGAGCGGCGGACGGGUGAGUAAUGCCUGGGAAAUUGCCCAGUCGAGGGGGAUAACAGUUGGAAACGACUGCUAAUACCGCAUACGCCCUACGGGGGAAAGCAGGGGACCUUCGGGCCUUGCGCGAUUGGAUAUGCCCAGGUGGGAUUAGCUAGUUGGUGAGGUAAUGGCUCACCAAGGCGACGAUCCCUAGCUGGUCUGAGAGGAUGAUCAGCCACACUGGAACUGAGACACGGUCCAGACUCCUACGGGAGGCAGCAGUGGGGAAUAUUGCACAAUGGGGGAAACCCUGAUGCAGCCAUACCGCGUGUGUGAAGAAGGCCUUCGGGUUGUAAAGCACUUUCAGCGAGGAGGAAAGGUUGAUGCCUAAUACGUAUCAACUGUGACGUUACUCGCAGAAGAAGCACCGGCUAACUACGUGCCAGCAGCCGCCGUAAGAC